rnacentral:rRNA from 1 species
UUUAUUGAAGCUUCGGUCGAUUUAAUUUAAUUCUAGUGGCGGACGGGUGAGUAACGCGUGGGUAACCUGCCUUAUACAGGGGGAUAACAGUCAGAAAUGGCUGCUAAUACCGCAUAAGCGCACAGAGCUGCAUGGCUCAGUGUGAAAAACUCCGGUGGUAUAAGAUGGACCCGCGUUGGAUUAGCUGUUGGUGGGGUAACGGCCCACCAAGGCGACGAUCCAUAGCCGGCCUGAGAGGGUGAACGGCCACAUUGGGACUGAGACACGGCCCAGACUCCUACGGGAGGCAGCAGUGGGGAAUAUUGCACAAUGGGGGAAACCCUGAUGCAGCGACGCCGCGUGAAGGAAGAAGUAUCUCGGUAUGUAAACUUCUAUCAGCAGGGAAGAUAAGUGACGGUACCUGACUAAGAAGCCCCGGCUAACUACGUGCCAGCAGCCGCGGUAAU